rnacentral:rRNA from 1 species
GAUGAACGCUGGCGGCGUGCCUAAUACAUGCAAGUCGAGCGAACAGACGAGGAGCUUGCUCCUCUGACGUUAGCGGCGGACGGGUGAGUAACACGUGGAUAACCUACCUAUAAGACUGGGAUAACUUCGGGAAACCGGAGCUAAUACCGGAUAACAUGUUGAACCGCAUGGUUCAACAGUGAAAGACGGUCUUGCUGUCACUUAUAGAUGGAUCCGCGCCGCAUUAGCUAGUUGGUAAGGUAACGGCUUACCAAGGCAACGAUGCGUAGCCGACCUGAGGGGGUGGUCGGCCACACUGGAACUGAGACACGGUCCAGACUCCUACGGGAGGCAGCAGUAGGGAAUCUUCCGCAAUGGGCGAAAGCCUGACGGAGCAACGCCGCGUGAGUGAAGAAGGUCUUCGGAUCGUAAAACUCUGUUAUUAGGGAAGAACAAAUGUGUAAGUAACUAUGCACGUCUUGACGGUACCUAAUCAGAAAGCCACGGCUAACUACGUG